rnacentral:rRNA from 1 species
GACAGAGGGUGCAAACGUUGCUCGGAAUUACUGGGCGUAAAGAGCUCGUAGGUGGUUUGUCGCGUUGUUCGUGAAAUCUCACGGCUUAACUGUGAGCGUGCGGGCGAUACGGGCAGACUUGAGUACUGCAGGGGAGACUGGAAUUCCUGGUGUAGCGGUGGAAUGCGCAGAUAUCAGGAGGAACACCGAUGGCGAAGGCAGGUCUCUGGGCCAUUACUGACACUGAGAAGCGAAAGCAUGGGGAGCGAACAGG